UUGACCUGCUUUGAACCUGCUGCAGAACCACAGAGCAGAAGAACGACCCUGUGUUUUUCUAUGUGGUCAGAAUUUGAGACAAUGAGAGCAUACGGAAAAUUACUGCUAGUUUAGAAUGUGAACCCCGUGACUCUUUGGAGUCAAAGAGGGGAGGGACUUGUGCUGUAUAUAAUGAGAGACCUUGUAAUGCUCAGUACGCUCUUCUUUUGGAGGGCGUCCAAUUCUGCAGAAUUUGUUAAUAAAAUCUUUGUUCUCUUGAAUUUGUCCAGAGCGAUUAUUUAGAAGUGAAUUUUCAUUUCUAACAACUUGGGGGCUCGUCCGGCUCCACACUCCGGCUGCAGUGGGCUCGAGGAAGGAAAUCGGAGACGGUGCACCCUACCGAGUUCGGUAGUCCCCGAUUCCUUACUCGCCGUCCCGCUUCGCAGCUUGAGCGAGUGGUAUCCGGGAGGCUCAGGAGAACAAAGAGGGAGGAGACUGGCCAGUCAUAAAGGGAAAAACGGGCAGGGGAUCGAGUAAUUUUGGUGCACUGAAGCCAGGGAUUCCUGACUCAGACCCCUCCACUCGAUAUCCACCUCCACAAAGUGGAACCGGGAGACUGGGUUUUGAUAAAAUCCUGGAAACCGAAGAAACUCCAAUCACUCUGGGAGGGACCGUUUCAGGUGUUACUCACCACCGAAGUUGCCAUACGAACAAAAGAAAAAGGGUGGACUCACGCCGCCAGACUAAAAGGCCAGGUGUCGCCGCCCAAAGAGGACUCUUGGUCAUGUGAGGCCGGUGAUGGACCGUUGGUGGUGAAGUUAAAGAGACAACCAAAAUGAACUCUAUUAUGACUGUUCUAGCAUUUUCUGUUAUAUUGUUUGUUCUUGCUCUGAUAAGGGGCGUGUUUGGUAACUGUGAUAAAUGCCGCUCUAGGGUUCGGGUGUGGGACACUGAGUUAGACUUACGCGGAUCUUUUAUAUCCCACUCCUCUUAUGCAAAUAAUACUCGCUGUUAUGACAUAUACUCACGCCAAAAGUGCUGGGAAAAAGGAAAACUAUACUAUCAAGUAAAAAAAAACAGGGGAUAUCUCGGUCUGUCUAGGGCUAGGGCCUAUCAUUGCCCCUUUAUGAAUUACGAAUGGUUGUGUAUGUCAGCAGACAGUUUACAGGGACAUGCUGCAUUACUGGAAACAGACAAAAGUAGAACUAAAAGGGAAUGUGCCAAACGCGGGGCUAUAAUUCAACUGGGAGAUCCUAAUUUCUUCUCCCUUUGCCAUGAUGAGGGGUCCCGGGAGGAAUGUUGGAAGGAUGGGAAAUUGUUUUAUCAAAGGUUAAACAAGGGUUAUGUUGGUUGGCCUGAGGGGAGAGUCCGUGAGUGUAUUUGGGAAGAACAUGAAUGGGUCUGCAUAAAAAAAAGACAGCUGGGAUAUGGCUAACAGGCCGUGCGACAAAUGCCGCCAAAUUGUGAAAUGGGGAAACCAUGUCUUUCCGGGGCCUUUUGUGAUUCACACUAAAAUAAGUGAUGCCUGUUACAACCGGGAGAAAAUGAUACCAUGUUGGGAGGAUGGGGAACAUUACUACCAGGUAUUCAGCCUGGGAUAUUACACGAGUGGAAAUAUAGACUGUCCACUUAUGGAAUAAUGGCUCUGUAUCAGUUUUACUGGAUCGGCAGCGGACCACUUUGACCGGGUUAGGGAAAUAUAUCCCGGGUUAGAGAAAUCUAUUCCAAAUUACGAUGCCAGAAUAGCCGCCUCUGCCAAGGUUUCCUCCCUCUAUGAGGACAUUGAGAGUCGGCUUACUCUUCCUUAUGUUGCGAAAAAAAUCUCUUUAUUGACUUCACGUCUCAAAUUGCCAAAAUUUUAAAUGUGACGAGCUGUUGGGUUUGUGGGGGUCCGCAUAUGACCGAGCAGUGGCCAUGGACGGGGGAGAGUUUGGAUGUUCAGGAAAUCCUUGAAUACAAUUGGACUUACUCCACGAACAGAAUUUAUCAAGUCUGGAAAUUGCAGAAUACCCCGGCGGGCCACUUCUGCGUUGGGAAACAAGGGUCCCGCCCAGUUGGUGACAGCCCCUGUCAGCGGGUCUUGAAUCUCACCACAGACACUUGGUGGCCCCGACCCUUGGUUGGUUUCUCACCAAACAACCCCUUGGGUUGUCUCUCACCCAACAAGGGGAUCUUAACUGUAGGCGGUUGCAUCCCACCUCUGAUUCCUGGAAUUGCAGUGGUUCUGGCCCUUAUGCGGGAAUGCCGGGAAUUAGAGAGGCAUGGGACGGUGUUGCCAGGGACAGUGGAGGGGGUCCGGCUCCUGAUGGUUUAUUUUGGAUUUGUGGGGAUCUGGCGUAUUCCAGGUUACCACAGGAAUGGGGUGGCUUAUGCUUCCUUGGUAUAGUCAGACCGGAGUUCUUUCUCCUCCCCCGUGAUCAAGGGGCUGACCUGGGGUUAAGUGGAGGCCCGGAAGACUGGCACGGAAGCGUAGGAGUGCUAGUCAGUGGAAUGUCCACAAGUGGGGCGCAGAUUGGCCACCGUCCCGUAUUAUUGAGUAUUAAGGGCCGGCAAGUUGGGCUCAGGAUGGCUCUUGGGGUUACAGAACUCCAAUUUAUAUGCUUAAUCGUAUCAUUCGCUUGCAGGCGGUGAUGGAAAUAAUCACCAACAAAACCACCUUCGCAUUGGAAUUACUGGCUAGAUAGCAGUCUCAAAUGAGGGCUGCAAUAUAUCAGAAUCGUCUUGCUUUAGACUACCUGCUUGCCUCUGAAGGGGGUGUCUGCGGGAAGUUUAACACGACAAAUUGCUGUCUGGAAAUAGACGAUAACUACGAGGCUGUCCUAAAAAUCACCCGGGACAUCCGUAAAAUAGCCCAUGUACCUGUCCAGACGUGGCGACCUAUAGGGGACGCUAGUUGGUGGAACACGCUUUUUGGGGGUGGCUGGUGGCGCAUGGCAUUAAUAAUGAUGGUGGGUAUCGGGGCCCUGUUCCUCGUUAUUCCCUGUCUGGUCCCCUGUGCUAGAGUGUUGAUCCAACGCCACAUCGCCCAGAUGCAAGCCAUUGCCAUACCCCAACAUGGUACUCAUGAACUUAAAGUUCUGCUGUUGAAAAGACAGAAGGACUUCCUUGAGCCGUAAUUCAGCCGAUUCUGUUACGCAUGCACAUCUUAAAAAGAAAAAGGGUGGAAUUGUGAGAGUGAGAUCUGGCUUAAUAAGAAUUAUUAAGAUGUGCAUGGCAUUAUAAUCUUUAAACGUGAGCAUUAUCAUAUUGAAUAAGCUAAACUUUUUGCUGCUUUAAAACCCAGAUUUCUGAUGCUAUUAAGCUCUCUUUGUAUAACCAUUUCUGUACUUAAAAUAUUGUCAGCAUUGAACCCUCAGAAUGGGGAAGUGUUAACAGUUAAUAAGAAACAAGCUACUUGGUGCAAGGGUCGGCUUUGUGUUAACAGAAUGGAGAAACAAAUCCAGACAUCUGCUGAUGUAUUGUGAAACCACAGGACAAGAAUAAAAUGUGAGAUGUCUGUUGACCUGCUUUGAACCUGCUGCAGAACCACAGAGCAGAAGAACGACCCUGUGUUUUUCUAUGUGGUCAGAAUUUGAGACAAUGAGAGCAUACGGAAAAUUACUGCUAGUUUAGAAUGUGAACCCCGUGACUCUUUGGAGUCAAAGAGGGGAGGGACUUGUGCUGUAUAUAAUGAGAGACCUUGUAAUGCUCAGUACGCUCUUCUUUUGGAGGGCGUCCAAUUCUGCAGAAUUUGUUAAUAAAAUCUUUGUUCUCUUGAA